AUUUAUACAAAGCAGCUCCGACAGUUCUGAUUUUCUUGAAUGGAGAGUGUGCUAUGAAAACAGUGGCUUAUGCUUGUUAUUUUGGUACUGNUUCUGAUUUAGACCAAGGAGGAACUCAUUGCCUGUGCAACAGAGGUCGUUUCUGGAGCAGAAACGCUGAUCAGGUUUGCAGGCAUCAUUGCAAAGAACUGCCAAGAUGAAAGAUGUGCAACUGAAUUGCUACAUGUCAUGGAGCAGGCCAAGGUGAUCAGCUAUCAGCUUAGCAUCAUUUCCAGGGUAAAUGCAUCAACUGGUAGAAGCAGGUCUUCUGCAGAACACGUCGUGAGCAAUGCACAGAAUCUCCUUCGGAUGGUUUUCCAGGUGCUAAGGGCAGCAGAACCUGCUUGUAUUAAAAGUUUGCAGCAAUCAUCUUCUAACUCGGAAGAAGCUGAUGUGGCAGACUUCUGCAGCCAGUGGAGGAAAAGUCUAUGGUGGCACAGGGUUGAAGAAGCCUUGAAUUCAGACAGGGAUGAACUGGGGCUUCGCAAAACAGGAUCAGGGACUGAACCCACCUUUACAGCCAUGAUCCAAGAUUUAUCAGCAUAACAGGACUGAAUACUCAUGUCUCUUUGCUUGAAGGUUAUUUGAAAUGCAAAAUACGUAUGCACAAAUUAAAAAAAGACUACAAAAGGGUGGGACUGUACAGAAAUGCAUUCAGUAACUGCAUUAUUGACUUU
rnacentral:lncRNA from 1 species